rnacentral:rRNA from 1 species
GACGAACGCUGGCGGCGCGCCUAACACAUGCAAGUCGAACGAGCGAGAGAGAGCUUGCUUUCUCGAGCGAGUGGCGAACGGGUGAGUAACGCGUGAGGAACCUGCCUCAAAGAGGGGGACAACAGUUGGAAACGACUGCUAAUACCGCAUAAGCCCACGACCCGGCAUCGGGUUGAGGGAAAAGGAGCAAUCCGCUUUGAGAUGGCCUCGCGUCCGAUUAGCUGGUUGGUGAGGUAACGGCCCACCAAGGCAACGAUCGGUAGCCGGACUGAGAGGUUGAACGGCCACAUUGGGACUGAGACACGGCCCAGACUCCUACGGGAGGCAGCAGUGGGGAAUAUUGCACAAUGGGGGAAACCCUGAUGCAGCGACGCCGCGUGGAGGAAGAAGGUCUUCGGAUUGUAAACUCCUGUUGUUGAGGAAGAUAAUGACGGUACUCAACAAGGAAGUGACGGCUAACUACGUGCCAGCAGCCGCGGUAAAACGUAGGUCACAAGCGUUGUCCGGAAUUACUGGGUGUAAAGGGAGCGCAGGCGGGAAGACAAGUUGGAAGUGAAAUCUAUGGGCUCAACCCAUAAACUGCUUUCAAAACUGUUUUUCUUGAGUAGUGCAGAGGUAGGCGGAAUUCCCGGUGUAGCGGUGGAAUGCGUAGAUAUCGGGAGGAACACCAGUGGCGAAGGCGGCCUACUGGGCACCAACUGACGCUGAGGCUCGAAAGUGUGGGUAGCAAACAGG